CGCCGCUCGUCGGCCACAGCCGCGAACGUGAAGACGCUCUGCGCGAGCUCAACCUGCGGCAGGAAGAGGGGCGCUCGGCUCCAGAGAGGAAUUAACCGACGGAAUUUACCAGACUGCUGUAUCAAAGGCUGUCGCCCUGAAUGAAUUGAAAGCGCGCACGUUUGUAUAACGCGUAUCAUUCCGGGUUUUUUUUUCCAGGGCACCAUCCCCUUCCCCCCCAUCCCCUUGUCCUUUUUUGUUUUUCCAUUUUGUCCCUCCUCCACUUUGUUUUGACGGAUAGCGCAUCCCAGUGGAGUGGAACUGAGUCCAUGGUUGCACCGGGCUGAAGCCCUCUGACAGACAAGAGGCUAGUGACUCAGAGAAGCAUGAGUACUGCAAAGCCCAGUGGGCUGAAAGCGCCCAGCAAGAUUGGCAGGCCAGCUGUGGCUGCUGCCAAGACAGCGCCCUCCACAGCUGUGCCUAAACCUGUUGUGGCUGAAAAGUCUGCAAGUCCUGCCUCGGCAGAGGCGCAGGAUGCAGCAGAGAGCUUCCAGGUCGGGGAGCGCGUGUGGGUAAACGGCAACAAGCCCGGCUUCGUGCAGUUCCUGGGUGAAACGCAGUUUGCGCCUGGCCAGUGGGCAGGCAUCGUGCUGGAUGAACCCAUUGGGAAGAACGAUGGCUCAGUGGCAGGUGUGCGCUACUUCCAGUGUGAGCCUCUGCGAGGCAUCUUCACCCGGCCCUCCAAGCUGUCCCGCACAGAGGGCGAGGCCAAUGGCGCACAGACGGCACCCCCCUCCAGAGCAGCCUCCCCCACUUCUGCUGCCCUGGCUGCCACCACCACCCCAGCCUCCACAGCCAGUCCUGCUCCCGUUUCUGCCACGGGCUCUGCCACAGCCACAGCAUCAGCCCCAACCCCAACCCCAACCCCAGCCCCCAAGAAGACCUCACCGGCAGAUCCAGCCUCCAACCUGGCACGGGCCAAUAGUGAGUCUGUCUCCAACCUGUCCGAGGCAGGCUCUGUUAAGAAGGGUGAACGGGAGCUGAAGAUGGGAGAUCGUGUGCUGGUUGGGGGCACCAAGGCUGGUGUGGUGCGGUUCCUGGGUGAGACAGACUUCGCCAAGGGCGAGUGGUGUGGCGUGGAGCUGGAUGAGCCUCUGGGAAAGAAUGAUGGGGCGGUGGCUGGAACCAGGUACUUCCAGUGCCAGCCCAGAUACGGCCUGUUCGCACCAGUGCACAAGGUGACGCGAAUUGGUUUCCCAUCCACCACACCAGCCAAAGCCAAGGCGGCCGCGGCACGCAAGUCCGUGACCACGCCUUCCUCCCUCAAGCGUAGCCCCAGCGCCUCCUCCAUCAGCUCCAUGAGCUCAGUCACCUCCUCUGUCAGCGGCAAGCCCAGCCGUACAGGCCUGCUGACAGAGACGUCGUCUCGCUAUGCACGCAAGAUCUCGGGCACCACGGCUUUGCAGGAAGCCCUGAAGGAGAAGCAGCAGCACAUCGAGCAGCUGCUGGCCGAGCGGGACCUCGAGCGAGCCGAGGUUGCCAAGGCCACUAGCCACGUGGGCCAGGUGGAGCAGGAGCUUACGCUGCUGAGGGAGGGACAGGAGCAGUAUGUGCUGGAGAUGGAGGCCAAGAUGGACCAGUUGCGUGGGUUGGUGGAAGCUGCAGACAGGGACAAGGUGGAGCUGCUGAACCAGCUGGAGGAGGAGAAAAGGAAAGUGGAGGACCUUCAAUUCCGUGUGGAAGAAGCCUGCAUUACCAAAGGGGACCUGGAGACGCAGACCAAACUGGAGCAUGCCCACAUUAAGGAACUUGAACAGAGCCUGCUCUUUGAAAAGACCAAAGCUGACAAACUCCAGAGAGAGUUAGAAGACACUAGGGUAGCAACGGUUUCUGAGAAAUCUCGUAUAAUGGAGCUGGAGAGAGACUUAUCCCUGCGAGCCAAGGAGGUGGCUGACCUACGCAUGCACAUGGAGUCGUCACGGGGGGUGGAGGCCGGCCACUUUGUGCCCUCUGGCUCAGAGGAGCUGAGCUUGCUGAAGGCUCAGCUGGCAGCACAGGGUGCAGAGCACCAACACGAGCUAGCUGUCCUGAGGGAACACUUGGAGGCCAGCGAGAAGGGCUGGCAGGAAGAGCGCACCCAGCUAAAGGCCAACAGUGACCAGCUCUCCCAGGAAAAUGAGCUGCUUAAGGGUCACCUUAGCCAGGCUGAAAAGGAGAAUGCGAACGUCGUCCAACUGUGGCGGACCAAACUCGAGUCGGCCAUUGUCUCCAACCAGCAGACCAUUGAAGGCUUGAAGGCGUCCUUUGGCAAGGACGCAGGAGCUCAGUCUGCUGAGCUGAUGGAACUGAAGAGUGCCAUAGAGAGGCAGAAGUUGGAGCACAGUUUGCAGUUGGAAGAGCUUAAGUCCAGGAAGGAGGCUGAGGGAACCUCCAGGUCCCGUGAGAUAGAGGAUCUGCGUGGCCGGUUGAUGCAUGCCUCAGAAGAGAAGGAAAGGCUGGCAGAGUCACUCCGCAGCAGCCUGGAGAGUGCUGAAGAACAGCACCUGGUGGAGAUGGAGGAUGUCCUGGGCAAGCUUCAUGCUGCUGAAGUGAAGGUAAAGGAGCUAGAGGACCUAGAGGGCCGGUGUGACCAGCAGACCUCUGAGCUGCAGGCUCUGAGGGAGCAGGUUAAGGAGUCCAGGGAAGCCCUGCAUGCCCAGGAGGCUCAAGGUAACCAGGAAGUUCAGAAACUGAGGGCCAGUGUGGAGGCAGCUGAAGCCACGUCCCACUCGCAGUCUGCCAAGGUCACAGACCUGGUCAGAGAUUUGGAGGGCAGGCAGCUGGAGAUACUGUCCCUCAAGGAGAAGCUGGCAGCCACAGAUAAAGAGAGAAUCUCUCUGGAGCAGCAGCUGGGUAACCUGAAGCAAAACCUUGAUGGGUCAACAGCAGAACAGGGUAAAACUGCCCAAGUUCUGCAAGAAACCUUGGAGAAGCUUGGUGUGAAAGACGCGCAGUGCACAGCAUUUUUGACAGAGACAGAGACCCUUAAGAGCCAGCUGGCCGGGAUGGGCAGGAAGAUGAAGGCAGCAGAGGAGAAACUGGACAGGCUGACUGCAGACAAGGCCAAGCUGGAGAGCGACAUGGCGGACAUGAUGAAGUUGUCAGGAGACAGCUCCGCCCAGCUAACCAAGAUGAACAAUGAGCUCACCCAGAGAGAAAGGUGCGUGGAGGAGCUGCAAGCCCAGCUUUCUGAGGCCAAGGAGCAAGCAGCAUACCUGGACGAGAGUCGACGGCAGAGCGAGGAGCGGGUAGCCCAACAGCUGCGAGAGGCAGAGGGGACACACCAGGCUGAGCUGCAGGCACGGGGUCUGCAGCUGGCCGAGCUGGAGGCGAGCAUUAAACAGGGCCAGGCCCAGAACCAGGAGCUCCAGGCCUCCCAAGCCAUCUCCCUAAAGAAGCAGACAGAGCAGCACAACCAGCAACUCCAGGAUCUUCAUGCCAAGCUGGAGGCAGUCGAGCAGGAGCUCAGUACAAUACAAGGCCGCGCCAUGGACCUAGAACAGCAGGUGCUUGAGCUGAAGUCCUACAAAGAACAGGCCCAGUCCCUUGUUGUCGAGCUAGCCUCCUCCAAGCAGGAAGCUGAGCAGUUAGUUGCACAGUUGGAGGUUCAGACAUUAGAGUUAGAGAGAGCAUCUAGAGAAAUCGCUGAAUCUGGAGCUCUGAGAGAGGCCCUUCAGACACAGCUCUCUGACGCUGCCAUGAAUCUCUCUACACUGGGAUCCAGCCGCACGGAACUUCUGUUGAAAUCUGAAGAACUAACGCAGCUUAAUAGGCAGGUUCUCCAGCAGAAAGAAGCGCUUCAUUCCAAGAAUCAGGAGCUGCACAAGGAAACAGCCGCAUUGUGCUUGGAGAAGGAUACCCUUUCCCAGGCAGUCGAGGAGCUUAGUGUUCGUAUAAAAGAUGCGGAACUGGCCAACAAGAGGUUUCAGGAUACUGAAGCAGAAUACAUGAGCCAAUUGAAGGAGCUUCGCAAGAUAAAUGCUGAAAGGCAGGAAGAUCUUCUAAAGUACCAACAGGAGAUCCUAAACCAGGAGAAUAACAGGAAGCAACUCAUGAAGGAUUACGAGAAGAUAUUUGAGGCAAAAGAAAGCAUCCAGGAGGAAUUGAAGCAAAGCAAAGAGAAACUGACAUCUGAGCAGGAGAAGCUGGCAGUUGCAAUAGACUUGGUCAGAGAGGAGAACACCAUCUUAAGUACCAAGAACACUGAGCUAGAGGCCAGAUGGACUUCACUGAACAUGGAGAAAGAGGAUCUCUAUGCAAGAAACGCUCAGCUGCACGCAGAGGCUGAUACUUUUGGGAAGGAAAAAGCUGAGAUUCUUGAACAGCUUCAGUCAUCUGUUUCUGACAAGGAAGCUCUUGGAGUGGAAAAAAGAGAUCUUCAAAAUCAACUGCAUGCUACCAAGAAAGACCUGGAGAAGUCUCUUUAUGAUAAUGCUGAGUUACAGGCCUCUAAAAACAGCCUGGCCAAGAUGCUAGAGGAAAUUAAAACCAGCAGGGAGAUCACUGACUCUGAAAGACUCCACCUUUUGCAGGAGAAGGAAGAUCUGUUGGCUAAUCAGAGGAAGGUAUGUAUGGAGAAGGCUGAGAUCCUCAGGGAGAAAGAAGAACUGUCUGAGAAGCUCUGCCUGUCAGCCGCUGCCUUAGAGAAGUCCCAGCAAGAGGUCACAUCCCUGGGCCAGGAGAAGCAAGCACUCAACUGCAAGCUACAGGAAGCAGAGAAGCAACUUCUUGGCCUGCAAGCUGAGAAAGCAGCCCUUGAACUUGCAGUGCAGCAGCAUGUGAGUGAGAAGCUCUGUUUGGAGAAGGACAAGGGAGAUCUGCUAGAAAAGCAUGAAAGGGAGAUAUCUGAGAAGGAGGCUCUUGCAAAGGAAAAGGACAAACUGGCAGAUGAUGUCAAUUUCAUAAAGGACCAGCUGGAGAACUCUUGCAGAAUGAAUGCAAGCCUCCUGGAGGAGAAGGUCGUUUUAGCAGCCAUGCUAGAGGAAAUGAAAAGUAGCCUGGUGACGGUGGGUGCUGAGAAAUCCAUGAUGGAGCAGGAAAAAUCAGAUCUGCAAAUCCAGCUGCAGAUUCAGUGCUCCCAUAAGGAAACCCUUGAGGGAGAGAAAGCUGAUCUGAUAGAGAAAUUACAGAAACUGAAGGAUGAAUCUGAAUAUGUACGAAUGGAGCUGGUGCAGGAAAGAGAGACCUUGAAGGCAGAGAGAGACUGCCUUGUUCUUAGGGAGACUGACUUGACCCGGGGUCUGCAGGAGCUGGAGAAGGAGAAAGAGGAACUUUUAGCUCGGAUGCGGGAUAUCUCUACUCAGAAUGAAAGUCUCUUAGGAGAAAAACAGUGUGUGGAACAUCAGCUAAAGGACAGUGCCAAUGAAAUAAGCAAGCUGACUGCAGCUAAGGAUGUCCAGGACAGAAAAGUGACAGACCUUCAAGGAGAGCUGUGCACUCUGGCCAUCAGCCUGAAGGAGGAGCAAGGCAAGGCCAUUGCCUUGAACCAAGAGGCAGAAACCCUGAGGUUUCAGCUGAAGCAGAUCAAUUUAGAAAAAGAGAACCUGGUUGCUGAGAAAGCAAGCAUUGCUGCUAAGUUGGAAGAGGUGGGUAGAGAAACUGUCUCUCUGGCCAUGGAGAAGGUGAACCUCCUGGAUGCCAAAUCCAAGCUCGAGCAAGACAUGGAGUCCUUUCUCAAUGGUCAGGAGGCGAGUGCUGCUGAGAACUUAAGGCUCCAGCAGGAGACCAAAGCCCAGCAGGCCACCUUGUUGGCGCUGGAGGCAGAGCUUGCCACACUUCGGGUUGAGAAGGCCUCACUGGAGGAGAAGCAGCGGGCAUCCCUGGAAAAGACAGCGGCCUCUGGCCAAGCCCAGGCAGAACUCUCUGCUAGCCUGAGUACCUUACAGGGCGAAAGGGAGUCCCUGGUCAGGGAGAGGGACCAAGCUGCCCAGAAAGUCAUGCAUCUCGAAGCCCUGCACAAAAACGCUCUGUCCCAGCAGCUUGAGGCCGCCCAGUCUGCUGGGCAGCUACAACAGGCCCUGGAGCAGCUGACACAGGAGAAAAAUCGGCUGCUUCAGGAGAGGAGUGGGAUCCAAACCCGCCUGCAGGAGAGCCAAGGGGCCACAAAGGAGCUGCAGGGACAGCUGGAUGCCCUGAAACAGCAGAACUCCAAGUACCUGGAGGAGCUAAGCGUGUCAAGGGAGCAGCUCAGCUCUGAGAACCAGAAGAUCAGCAGCCUGUCCAGAGAGAUAGAGGAUCUGAAGCUGGCCACUACCCAGAAGUCUCAGCGUCUUGCUGUUCUGCAGGAGGAAAACACCAAACUGGCCAAGGAGCUGGAUACCAGUCGACAGGAGGGAAGCUGCCAGAAGGAGCUCGAAGAAGAGCUCUCCACUCUGAACAGUCAGCUCCUUCAGUUGAAGAAGAGAGAGAAUUCCCUGAAGAAGGAAUCUGACGAGGAGAAGAUCUCCCUCCAUCAAUCCAUCCAGAGGAGCAGCACCUUGAUCUCGGCAAAGGACAAAGAGCUUGAGGCCCUGAGAAGCGAGGUCGCCGUCUUGCGGGAUGAGAAUGUGCUCGCUAAGACAUUGCAGUCGGCUGUCCGCUCGUUGGAGCUGGACAAAGCGCGACUGCAGGAGCAGGUGCGGAGCCUAGAGCAAAAGCUGGUGGGGGGCGAGCCCACCAACCCUGAAGGAUCCUCAGGUGAUUCAGCCCUGGCACAGCUCCGGGAAGAGAAGGAGUCAGCUGAGAGCCAGCAGGCAGCGGUUCGUUACUGUUUCUCAUCUGUUUGUUUCCGAGCAUGUCUGUUUCAUGUUCCUGUGCCAUGAUAUAUCUGUUCAUUAAAGAUGGAGGCAGCUGUUGGUGGGGGUGAGGGGGGGGAGGUAGGCCAAUGUACUGGUUGUCUCCCAACAAAGAAUCAGGCUUUCUCUGAUACUUUCUGUUCUCGUUAGUAAUUUCCACUCCAUGUGUGACCCCAAGUCCACCUUGGAAUGAUCUUUUCUACUCAGGUUAAUGCAAAUUUCUUACUUUGUGCAUCUUAUUCAUCAAGGAAUGCAGAUCAUACGGUCUGAUUCAUCAUUUUUCUGUUAAAUGCAGUAAGAAUUGUGCCAGUAGACUAGUGGUUAUGGCCAUGGAUUCUGACCAUGAGUCCAGCUAAAAUUGGUAGAAUGGGGCAGAGAAGCAGGGAAAGGAGAUCCAGGCUGUACCCCACACAGUAGACAGCUGUAGAACCUCCAGACUAGUUAUCCUUCCAUAAUUGUAAGUGGCCAUUUCAGUGACCCCCCACUCCCCCCAGAGAUACUGUCUGAUUCACAUACUGUAGACUGGGUUCCGGGAAGGUGCCUUCUCCUGACUUCUGUUUUAACCACUGACUGAGCGCACUGGUGAAAGUCCUCUGUCUGUCUUGGAGGGGUUGUAAGGUAGCCGUUGGAUGUGGCCUCUCAGAGCACUGUGUGAAUAGUACUUACUGCCUGUGUGGUAAACAUUAAUAUAUCUGCACGUCAGAACGGCAUUUUCAAGAUCUCAUAGCACAUCAUAUUGUGUAGAUUGCCUAAUAGUAUGGGGAGCUGCGCAUGUUUGCUGCUGGUUGCUUUUAUUUAUUUGUUUGCUUAUUUUUGCUCUGGACUGAGCUGGUCAUGCUUUGCAUGCAAUGGUGAUCCCUGUCCUGUUCGGAGCAGAUUGACUUCCUGAACUCGGUCAUCGUGGACCUGCAGAGAAAGAAUGAGGAGCUGAAGUCUAAGCUGGAGAAGAUUUCGGAGGCGGCACUCAAUGGAAAUAACCCUGACGAGCUCGACAGCUACGACUGUUUCAGUGAGGACCGGCCCAA